rnacentral:rRNA from 1 species
AUCUUACCUUGAAUACAUAGGGGUAAGAAGCGAACUCGGGGAACUGAAACAUCUAAGUACCCGAAGGAAAGGACAUCAACCGAGACUCCGCAAGUAGUGGCGAGCGAACGCGGACCAGGCCAGUGGCAAUGAGGAAUAAAGCGGAACAAGUUGGAAAGCUUGGCCAUAGUGGGUGACAGCCCCGUACGCGUAGAACACUCAUUGUCCUAGAGUAGGGCGGGACACGUGAAAUCCUGUUCGAACAUGGGGAGACCACUCUCCAAGCCUAAGUACUCGUGCAUGACCGAUAGCGAACAAGUACCGUGAGGGAAAGGUGAAAAGCACCCCGACAAGGGGAGUGAAAUAGAACCUCGAAACCGGAUGCCUACAAACAGUAGGAGGGCGAAAGCCUCGACUCGCGUACCUUUUGUAUAAUGGGUCAACGACUUAGUGUAACUCAGCAAGCUUAAGCCGGUAGGUGUAGGCGCAGCGAAAGCGAGUGUUAAUAGCGCGAUUGAGUUAGUUGCAUUAGACCCGAAACCGAGUGAUCUAGCCAUGAGCAGGUUGAAGGUUGGGUAACACCAACUGGAGGACCGAACCCGCAUCUGUUGCAAUAGAUUGGGAUGACUUGUGGUUAGGGGUGAAAGGCCAAUCAAACUCGGAAAUAGCUGGUUCUCCGCGAAAACUAUUUAGGUAGUGCGUCGAUCGAAUACCUCAGGGGGUAGAGCACUGGAUGGGCUAUGGGGACUCACCGUCUUACUGAUCCUAACCAAACUCCGAAUACCUGAGAGUACUAAUCGGCAGACACACGGCGGGUGCUAACGUCCGUCGUGAAGAGGGCAACAACCCUGACCUCCAGCUAAGGUCCCCAAGUCAUGGCUAAGUGGGAAAGGAUGUGAGGAUCCCAAAACAACCAGGAUGUUGGCUUAGAAGCAGCCAUCAUUUAAAGAAAGCGUAACAGCUCACUGGUCUAAAUAAGGGUCUUUGCGCCGAAAAUGUAACGGGGCUAAAGCCAUGCACCGAAGCUGAGGAUGUGCACGUAAGUGUACGUGGUAGCGGAGCGUUCCGUAAGCCUGUGAAGGGACAGUCGUGAGACAUCCUGGAGGUAUCGGAAGUGCGAAUGUUGACAUGAGUAACGAUAAAGGGGGUGAGAGACCCCCUCGCCGAAAGACCAAGGGUUCCUGCUUAAAGUUAAUCUGAGCAGGGUUAGCCGGCCCCUAAGGCGAGGCAGAAAUGCGUAGUCGAUGGGAACCACGUUAAUAUUCGUGGGCCUGGUGGUAGUGACGGAUCACACAAAUUGUACAGUCUUACUGGAUUGAUUGUGCAGUGGAGUGGUUCCAGGAAAUAGCUCCACCGUAUAGACCGUACCCGAAACCGACACAGGUGGUCAGGUAGAGUAUACCAAGGCGCUUGAGAGAACUAUGUUGAAGGAACUCGGCAAAUUGCACGCGUAACUUCGGAAGAAGCGUGACCCCUUUUUACGCAAGUGGAGAGGGGUGGCACAGACCAGGGGGUAGCGACUGUUUAUCAAAAACACAGGGCUCUGCGAAGUCGCAAGACGACGUAUAGGGUCUGACGCCUGCCCGGUGCUGGAAGGUUAAAAGGAGAGGUGCAAGCUUUGAAUUGAAGCCCCAGUAAACGGCGGCCGUAACUAUAACGGUCCUAAGGUAGCGAAAUUCCUUGUCGGGUAAGUUCCGACCUGCACGAAUGGCGUAACGACUUCCCCGCUGUCUCCAACAUAGACUCAGUGAAAUUGAAUUCCCCGUGAAGAUGCGGGGUUCCUGCGGUCAGACGGAAAGACCCCGUGCACCUUUACUAUAGCUUUACACUGGCAUUCGUGUCGGCAUGUGUAGGAUAGGUGGUAGGCUUUGAAGCUUGGACGCCAGUUCGAGUGGAGCCAUCCUUGAAAUACCACCCUUAUCGUCAUGGAUGUCUAACCGCGGUCCGUUAUCCGGAUCCGGGACAGUGUAUGGUGGGUAGUUUGACUGGGGCGGUCGCCUCCGAAAGAGUAACGGAGGCGCGCGAUGGUGGGCUCAGACCGGUCGGAAAUCGGUCGUCGAGUGCAAUGGCAUAAGCCCGCCUGACUGCGAGACUGACAAGUCGAGCAGAGACGAAAGUCGGUCAUAGUGAUCCGGUGGUCCCGCGUGGAAGGGCCAUCGCUCAACGGAUAAAAGGUACGCCGGGGAUAACAGGCUGAUGACCCCCAAGAGUCCAUAUCGACGGGGUUGUUUGGCACCUCGAUGUCGGCUCAUCGCAU